UGGGGAAUCUUGGACAAUGGGGGCAACCCUGAUCCAGCAAUGCCGCGUGUGGGAUGAAGGCCUUCGGGUUGUAAACCACUUUUGGCGGGGGCGAAAUAUCGAGUGCUAAUACCAUUCGGUGAUGACGGUACCCGCAGAAUAAGCACCGGCUAACUACGUGCCAGCAGCCGCGGUAAUACGUAGGGUGCAAGCGUUAAUCGGAAUUACUGGGCGUAAAGCGUGCGCAGGCGGUUAGGUAAGACAGGUGUGAAAUUCCCGGGCUCAACCUGGGAACUGCAUUUGUGACUGCCUGACUAGAGUGCGGCAGAGGGGAGUGGAAUUCCGCGUGUAGCAGUGAAAUGCGUAGAUAUGCGGAGGAACACCGAUGGCGAAGGCAACUCCCUGGGCCUGCACUGACGCUCAUGCACGAAAAGCGUGGGGAGCAAACAGGAUUAGAUACCCUGGUAGUCCACGCCCUAAAACGAUGUCGACUAGUUGUUGGACGGGUUA
rnacentral:rRNA from 1 species